GCCUGGGUGGCUCAGUCGGUUGAGCAUCUGACUUCAGCUCAGGUCUUGAUCUCACGGUUGAUGGGAUCGAGCCCCGUAUCAGGCU
rnacentral:tRNA from 1 species